rnacentral:lncRNA from 1 species
AGGUGGGUUGUGCUUCACCGAAGUGAUUAGGUCACUUUCAAGUGAAAGUGAAGUAUGAAUGUGUUUGAAGUAUACAAUUUUUUUUAAAAAAAGGGUAAAGUAGUUCUAAUCAAAACUGAUUAAAUUCGGACUCAUACAAUCCAAUGGGUCUCAUGUUGACCGAGAAAUUUUGGGGCCAAUAAUUAUAAUUUAAAUUCACAAUAUGCCCAUUCAUUAAUGCGAGUUGGUGGGCAUCAUGAAAGUCCUUUAAAAUUUUAGACCUAUACAAUAAUUCGGGCCUCAUUCCAGCCCAUUAAAUAUUAUCAUUUGUGCCCAAAACUUUUUAUUGAAGUGGGCCUGAUCAACGACGGCCCAUAUCCACACCCUAUAAAAUAUCUGUUCGAAAUUCAAUUUCAAACCACAACCCAUUCAAAAUUCGAUUUCGUAUUUCGAAUCCCCAACCAAUUCCCAAAAUAUCCUCCAACCAUCCAACAACCUAUUCAAAAUUCGAUUUUGAAUUUCGAAUCCCCAACCAACUCCCAAAAUAUCUUCCAACUACCCAACAAUCGAUUCAAAAUUUGAUUUCAAAUUUCGAAUCCCCAACCAAUUCCCAAAAUAUCCUCCAGCCAUCUAAUAACCCAUUCAAAAUUCGAUUUCGAAUUUCGAAUCCCCAACCAACUCUAAAAAUAUCUUCCAAUCAUGCAACAACCCAUUCAAAAUUCGAUUUCGAAUUUCGAAUCCCCAAGCAACUCCAAAAAUAUCUUCCAACCAUCCAAUAACAUAUUCAAAAUUCGAUUUUGAAUUUCGAAUCCCCAACCAACUCCAAAAAUAUCCAACAACCGAUUCAAAAUUCGAUGUUGAAUUUCGAAUCCCCAACCAAUUUCCAAAAUAUCCUCUAACCAUCCAACAACCGAUUCAAAAUUCGAUUUCCCCAACCAACCCCCGAAAUAUCUUCCAACCAACCAUAAUAACCGAUUCAAAAUUCGAUUUCGAAUUUCGAAUUCCCAACCAACCCCCAAAAUAUCUUCCAACCAAUCACAACAACCGAUUCAAAAUUCGAUUUCGAAGUUCGAAUUCCCAACCAACCCCAAAAUAUCUUCCAACUAACCACAACAACCGAUUCAAAAUUCGAUUUCGAAUUUCGAAUUCUUAACUGACUCCUCAAAAUAUCUCUCGCCACCUCUCCUAUUAUAAAUAUGAGAAUCGAAAUCAAACGUCGGACGAUAAAAGAAGAAGGGAAAAAAAAUAGAUAGAUUGCUAUACACGUUCUGACGUACAAAAAAUUCAAAGGAAGAGAGAUCGCCGAGCCGCCGAA